UAGAAAACAGACAGAAUAGCGAACUCCUUUUCUGUAACAAAAAUGAAGAAUAUCGUCCGAUUACUUUGUGUUGUGUCAUCAUUACAAUGUGUUAUGUCUCAGAUUUCUCUUGUGGAGUCUGGUCCUGGAACUGUGAAGCCAACAGAAGACAUUUCACUGACAUGUAAAGUGACUGGUGCCUCUUUGACAGACAGCACUAACAUGUAUGCAGUGAGCUGGAUCCGCCAGUCUGCCGGGAAAGGACUGGAGUGGUUAGGACUUAUAUAUUAUAAUGCAGAUAAAAUAAUUGCUCAAAGUCUGCAGGGACGUCUGGAAUUGUCAAGAGACACAAAUAAAGGAGAAGUUUAUUUAAAACUUGCUGGAGCAAAAACAGAAGAUACAGGAAGAUAUUACUGUGCAAGACACACUGUGAGACAUGUGUAUGGAGAGGAAGAGUAA